rnacentral:piRNA from 1 species
UCCAAAGGUGCCAUUGUUCUUCAUAUAGACC